rnacentral:rRNA from 1 species
UGGGGAAUUUUGGACAAUGGGCGCAAGCCUGAUCCAGCCAUGCCGCGUGCGGGAAGAAGGCCUUCGGGUUGUAAGCCGCUUUUGUCAGGGAAGAAACGCUCUGGGCUAAUACCCUGGGGUAAUGACGGUACCUGAAGAAUAAGCACCGGCUAACUACGUGCCGGCAGCCGCGGUAAUACAGAGGGUGCGAGCGUUAAUCGGAAUUACUGGGCGUAAAGCGCACGUAGGUGGCGACGUAAGUCGGGUGUGAAAUCCCCGGGCUCAACCUGGGAACCGCAUUCGAGACUGUGUUGCUGGAGUACGGAAGAGGAGGGCGGAAUUCCCGGUGUAGCGGUGAAAUGCGUAGAUAUCGGGAGGAACAUCAGUGGCGAAGGCGGCCCUCUGGUCCAGUACUGACACUCAAGUGCGAAAGCCAGGGGAGCAAACGG